rnacentral:rRNA from 1 species
GUAGGGAAUAUUGCGCAAUGGGGGAAACCCUGACGCAGCGACGCCGCGUGAGUGAUGAAGGCCUUCGGGUCGUAAAGCUCUGUUGCAGGGGAAUAAAAAAAUGAAGGUACCCUGUGAGGAAGGAUCGGCUAACUUCGUGCCAGCAGCCGCGGUAAGACGAGGGAUCCUAGCGUUGCUCGGAAUCAUUGGGCGUAAAGAGGGCGUAGGUGGCUUGGUAAGUCAGGUGUGAAAGCCCAGGGCUCAACCCUGGAAGUGCAUUUGAUACUGCUGAGCUUGAGUGUCGUAGAGGUUACCGGAAUACCUGGUGUAGUGGUGAAAUACGUAGAUAUCAGGUGGAACACCGGAGGCGAAGGCGGGUAACUGGACGAACACUGACACUGAGGCCCGAAAGCGUGGGGAUCAAACAGGAUUAGAAACCCCUGUAGUCC